GACGAACGCUGGCGGCGCGCUUACCACAUGCAAGUCGAACGGUGAACCGGGCUUCGGCCCGGGGACCAGUGGCGAACGGGUGCGUCACAUGUGGGCAACCUGCCCCCCACCCUGGGAUAACCCCGGGAAACCGGAGCUAAUACCGGAUACUCCGAACGGUCCGCCUGGUCCGGUACGGCAAGGUCCUCCCGUGAGGGGUGGGCACGCGGCCUAUCAGCUUGUUGGUGAGGUAACGGGUCACCAAGGCGACGACGGGUAGCUGGUCUGAGAGGACGACCAGCCACACUGGGACUGAGAUACGGCCCAGACUCCUACGGGAGGCAGCAGUGGGGAAUCUUGCGCAAUGGGCGAAAGCCUGACGCAGCGACGCCGCGUGGGGGACGACGGCCCUCGGGUUGUAAACCCCUUUCGGCAGGGACGAAGCGGUUCCGUGACGGUACCUGCAGAAGAAGCCUCGGCUAACUACGUGCCAGCAGCCGCCGUAAGAC
rnacentral:rRNA from 1 species